AAAUUGAAGAGUUUGAUCAUGGCUCAGAUUGAACGCUGGCGGCAGGCCUAACACAUGCAAGUCGAACGGUAACAGGAAGCAGCUUGCUGCUUCGCUGACGAGUGGCGGACGGGUGAGUAAUGUCUGGGAAACUGCCUGAUGGAGGGGGAUAACUACUGGAAACGGUGGCUAAUACCGCAUAACGUCGCAAGACCAAAGAGGGGGACCUUCGGGCCUCUUGCCAUCAGAUGUGCCCAGAUGGGAUUAGCUUGUUGGUGA
rnacentral:rRNA from 1 species